GACGUAGGGCGCGAGCGUUGUCCGGAUUUAUUGGGCGUAAAGAGCUCGUAGGCGGCUUGUUACGUCGUUCGUGAAAACUUGGGGCUCAACCCCAAGCUUGCGGUCGAUACGGGCAGGCUAGAGUUCGGUAGGGGAGACUGGAAUUCCUGGUGUAGCGGUGAAAUGCGCAGAUAUCAGGAGGAACACCGGUGGCGAAGGCGGGUCCCUGGGCCGAUACUGACGCUGAGGAGCGAAAGCGUGGGGAGCGAACAGG
rnacentral:rRNA from 1 species